GACGAACGCUGGCGGCGUGCCUAAUACAUGCAAGUCGAGCGGACUGAAUGGGAGCUUGCUCUUGUUCGGUCAGCGGCGGACGGGUGAGUAACACGUGGGCAACCUGCCCGCAAGACCGGGAUAACUCCGGGAAACCGGAGCUAAUACCGGAUAACACCGAAGACCGCAUGGUCUUUGGUUGAAAGGCGGCGCAAGCUGCCACUUGCGGAUGGGCCCGCGGCGCAUUAGCUAGUUGGUGAGGUAACGGCUCACCAAGGCGACGAUGCGUAGCCGGCCUGAGAGGGUGACCGGCCACACUGGGACUGAGACACGGCCCAGACUCCUACGGGAGGCAGCAGUAGGGAAUCUUCCGCAAUGGGCGAAAGCCUGACGGAGCGACGCCGCGUGAGCGAAGAAGGCCUUCGGGUCGUAAAGCUCUGUUGUGAGGGACGAAGGAGCGCCGUUUGAAGAAGGCGGCGCGGAGACGGUACCUCACGAGGAAGCCCCGGCUAACUACGUG
rnacentral:rRNA from 1 species